rnacentral:rRNA from 1 species
AGCGAACGCUGGCGGCAGGCCUAACACAUGCAAGUCGAGCGCCCAGCAAUGGGAGCGGCAGACGGGUGCGUAACACGUGGGAAUUUGCCUUUCGGUGGGGAAUAACGCAGGGAAACUUGCGCUAAUACCGCAUACGCCCGCAAGGGGAAAGAUUUAUCGCCGAAAGAUAAGCCCGCGUCUGAUUAGCUAGUUGGUAGGGUAAUGGCCUACCAAGGCGACGAUCAGUAGCUGGUCUGAGAGGAUGAUCAGCCACACUGGGACUGAGACACGGCCCAGACUCCUACGGGAGGCAGCAGUGGGGAAUAUUGGACAAUGGGCGCAAGCCUGAUCCAGCCAUGCCGCGUGAGUGAAGAAGGCCUUAGGGUUGUAAAGCUCUUUUGUGUGGGAAGAUAAUGACUGUACCACAAGAAUAAGUCCCGGCUAACUUCGUGCCAGCCGCCGCCGUAA